rnacentral:rRNA from 1 species
GACGAACGCUGGCGGCGUGCUUAACACAUGCAAGUCGAACGGAAAGGCCCUGCUUUUGUGGGGUGCUCGAGUGGCGAACGGGUGAGUAACACGUGAGUAACCUGCCCUUGACUUUGGGAUAACUUCAGGAAACUGGGGCUAAUACCGGAUAGGAGCUCCUGCUGCAUGGUGGGGGUUGGUAAGUUUCGGCGGUUGGGGAUGGACUCGCGGCUUAUCAGCUUGUUGGUGGGGUAGUGGCUUACCAAGGCUUUGACGGGUAGCCGGCCUGAGAGGGUGACCGGCCACAUUGGGACUGAGAUACGGCGCAGACUCCUACGGUAGGCAGCAGUGGAAAAUAUUGCACAAUAGGCGGAAGCCUGAUGCAGCAACGCCGCGAGCGGGAUGACGGCCUUCGGGUUGUAAACCGCUUUCGCCUGUGACGAAGAGUGAGUGACGGUAAUGGGUAAAGAAGCACCGGCUAACUACGUG